rnacentral:rRNA from 1 species
GUGGGGAAUAUUGGACAAUGGGCGAAAGCCUGAUCCAGCCAUGCCGCGUGUGUGAAGAAGGUCUUCGGAUUGUAAAGCACUUUAAGUUGGGAGGAAGGGCAGUAAGUUAAUACCUUGCUGUUUUGACGUUACCGACAGAAUAAGCACCGGCUAACUUCGUGCCAGCAGCCGCGGUAAUACGAAGGGUGCAAGCGUUAAUCGGAAUUACUGGGCGUAAAGCGGGCGUAGGUGGUUUUGUAAGUUGGAGGUGAAAACCCCGGGCUGAACCUGGGAACUGCAUCCAAAACUGCAUGACUAGAGUACGGUAGAGGGUAGUGGAAUUUCCUGUGUAGCGGUGAAAUGCGUAGAUAUAGGAAGGAACACCAGUGGCGAAGGCGACUACCUGGACUGAUACUGACACUGAGGUGCGAAAGCGUGGGGAGCAAACAGGAUUAGAAACCCCUGUAGUCC